CUGGAUUCGUGCGCACCUAGACAGCAUUCAUGCUCUCGCGAGAACUGGAGUCAGUGAGAGUCUCGUCGAAGGCUCGUGGCGGCUUGGGAGCGUUCUUUCUGCUCAUGGCGGCUUGGCAGCGUUCUUUCAGCUCAUGGCGGCUUGGCAGUGUUCUUUCAGCGCCGCUGGACCCUCGGGGCUGCGAUUCUCCAUCUCCGUGGUACGUGCUGUUCUUCAGCUGCUUUUUUAAGAAAGUGGUAGCAGAUGAACAGAUAAACAAGAAAGGCAUGAAACAGAGAAAACCAAAAAGCAAAGUGGCGGAUUUGAAUGAAACCAUACCAAAAGUACACUAAAUCAAUCCUGACUUGAAGGUAUUGUCAUUAUGCCCAUUCUGCAGACGAGAAGACUGAGUCUCAACAAUUAUAUAUAAUGCAACUAAGGUUCAUACAACAAAUAAACAAUAAUACAUAUACAACAAAUAAAUUAAGGCAGAUUUACCUGAUUCCAGGGCCCAUGUUCUUUUCAGAGUCCCUGCCUACAAGGAAUUUUUAGGUUAGUGGGAGAAUUAGGGAUGAGGCACACAAAAC
rnacentral:lncRNA from 1 species